rnacentral:rRNA from 1 species
GAUGAACGCUAGCGGCAGGCCUAAUACAUGCAAGACGAACGGUAAGUUUGAUAGCAAUAUUGAGCCAAGAGUGUCGUAAGGGUGCGUAACACGUAUGCAAUCUGCCCUCAACAGGAGUAUAGCUCGGGGAAACUCGAAUUAACCCUCCAUAAGAUUGUGGUGUGGCAUCAAACAGCAAUUAAAACCACGGUGGUUGAGGAUGAGCAUGCGCAUGAUUAGUUAGUUGGCGGGGUAACGGCCCACCAAGACGAUGAUCAUUAGGGGAACUGAGAGGUUGAUCCCCCACUCUGGCACUGAGAUACGGGCCAGACUCCUACGGGAGGCAGCAGUAGGGAAUAUUGGACAAUGGGUGAGAGCCUGAUCCAGCCAUGCCGCGUGCAGGAAGAAGGCCUUCUGGGUUGUAAACUGCUUUUAUCUGGGGAUAAAAAGGCCUUGCGGGGCAAACUGAAGGUACCAGAUGAAUAAGCCACGGCUAACUACGUGCCAGCCGCCGCAGUAAUAC